rnacentral:rRNA from 1 species
GAUGAACGCUGGCGGCGUGCCUAAUACAUGCAAGUCGAGCGAACAGACGCGGAGCUUGCUCCUCUGACGUUAGGGGCGGACGGGUGAGUAACACGUGGAUAACCUCCUUAUAAGUCUGGGAUAACUUCGGGAAACCGGAGCUAAUACCGGAUAAUAUACUGAACCGCAUGGUUCAUUAGUGAAAGACGGUUUUGCUGUCACUUAUAGAUGGAUCCGCGCCGGAUUAGCUAGUUGGUAGGGUAACGGCUUACCAAGGCAACGAUGCGUAGCCGACCUGAGAGGGGGAUCGGCGGCACUAGAAGUGAGACGCGGUCCAGACUACUACGAGAGGCAGCAGUAGGGAAUCUUACGCAAUGGUCGGAAGCCUGACGGAGCAGCGCCGCGUGAGUGAUGAAGGUCUUCGGAUCGUAAAGCUCUGUUAUUAGGGAAGAACAAAUGUGUAAGUAACUGUGGACGUCUUGACGGUAGCUAGUCAGUAAGCCACGGCUAACUACGUG